rnacentral:rRNA from 1 species
UACGGAGGAUCCGAGCGUUAUCCGGAUUUAUUGGGUUUAAAGGGUGCGUAGGCGGCCUAUUAAGUUAGCGGUGAAAUGCAGGGGCUUAACCCCUGAGCUGCCGCUAAUACUGGUAAGCUAGAGAAUGGAUGCAGCAGGCGGAAUGUGUGGUGUAGCGGUGAAAUGCAUAGAGAUCACACAGAACACCGAUUGCGAAGGCAGCUUGCUAAUCCAUAUCUGACGCUGAGGCACGAAAGCGUGGGUAGCGAACAGG